rnacentral:lncRNA from 1 species
AUGUGGAGAGACAGAGGGUUUGGAGCAUGCUCCAUAGGCUUCAGAACCCCUCCUCUCCCCUGCUUUCCUUCCCUCCCUCCCUCCCUCCCUCCCUCCCUCCCUCCCUCCCUCCCUCCCUCCCUCCCUCCUCCACCUCCUCCUAUCCUUUACCUUUCCCCCCAGUCCCAGGGAAAUCUUAGUGGGGUGAAAGGGAACAAGGCAGGGAAGGACUUUGCGGUGGGAUGGAGCUGGGAGGGUCAGGCUGGGGAAAUCACCACGCUGGGAAACUGGGGGUAUCACACAUGGCUGCUCCUUGAAUGUUCUGUGAGUGAGCAGCCCUGCUGUUCGGCCCAGAACCUGCUGGUCUGGGGAUUCUCAUCAGCGACAGACCUGCCCCACACUCUCCUGGUUCUGGUUGGACGAGACCACUGCUUGACUUGCCAUCACGUGCUUGCAGAGUCCCAGGGAGCAGCAGCGACCCCAGCAGAAGCUGGAGGAGAGAAGGGGGACGUCUCCUCCUCUUCACACAGCCCCAGCCAGGUAAAGGUUGGGAACAUUGACGGAUUGGAAGGUUCUCCAUCAGUGGCAGUGAAUUUCCUCGGGGGAAGAAGUAAUUGUGAAGAAAAUUCAUCAAAGAAUCUUUAGUUAGGCCAAUUUGAGAGUGGCUUUGAAGUGCUCUGACCUCACUCGAGGGCUCUGACCUCUGGCAUCAUGAUUACAAAAGUGUUUUGAUGUGAGUCUCUGAGGACCGGUGACCCAGAGAAUUGGUGACAUUGUGACUGGUGACCCUGAGACAUCCAUUGGGACGGACCUAAGGCUUACUCAGGCAUUGAGGCAGGGCAAGGGAGGGACCAGAGUGUGGGGCUGUGGGCUCAAGGAAGGCAAGAUGACCCCUAGACUAUGGCCAGAAGUGGCAACAGAGGACCUAUUUGCACUUUUUCUCCCUCCCACCUUUUUCUCCUUUAUCCCUUCUUUCUUGUUGACAGAACCUGGCCACUCACUCCCAUAUGCCACAGGAACCCAGGUUCAGCAACUUCAAAACACUCUACAUGCUCUGUCCUUGAGGGUUUUUGAGGACCGGGGACCUGGCCAUGGCUUGGCUGGGCUCUCCACCCUGAGUCUCACAUAGCUUAGUUAAGGUGUCUAUCUGAGGUCUUUGGUUUCAUCUACUAGUGUAUGACUGGGACAGUAUCACCUUCAAUUACUCAAUAGCAUUGGUGUGGUCACCUUUGGGCUAUUGGGCUGGGCAUCUUGGCUUUUCUGGCUGUUGUCAGAGGUCACCGUCACUUCCUUGCUACAUGAUGCUAUCUAAAUGGGGGAAGCAGGCACGCACUGUGAAAAAGAGAGUGAGGAGAAAAAGAAGAGAGGAGAGGAGGAGGGGAGAGAGGGGGCAGACAGGGGUGAGGAGGAACAGGUUAAGAGUGAGGCAGCCAGCAGUCACAGACAUGUGUACUCAAUCUCAGAAAUGGUAUCUGGUUACACUUGCUGUGUUUUGUCUGUCAGAAGCAAGCCCCAGUCUGGGAAGAUGGCUCGGCUGGUGAAAAGUGCAGACUGCUCUUUCAGAGGACCUGAGUUUGGUUCUCAGCACACAUGUCAGGUUGCUCACAACUGCCUGUAACUCCAGCUCCAUGGAGAUCCAACACCUCUAGUCUCCUUAAAUGAUUGGACCUGUGUACACAUACCCCCGCACAAAUAGACACAUAAUUAAAAAUAAAUCUUAACUUUUCAUGUGUCCCGAGCCGGUC